rnacentral:rRNA from 1 species
UACAGAGGUCUCAAGCGUUGUUCGGAUUCAUUGGGCGUAAAGGGUGCGUAGGUGGCAUGGUAAGUCGGAUGUGAAAUCCCGGGGCUCAACCCCGGAACUGCAUUCGAUACUGCUGCGCUAGAGUACUGGAGAGGAGAUUGGAAUUUACGGUGUAGCAGUGAAAUGCGUAGAUAUCGUAAGGAAGACCAGUGGCGAAGGCGGAUCUCUGGACAGUUACUGACACUGAGGCACGAAGGCCAGGGGAGCAAACGGG